GCCGGGCGUGGUGGCACAUGCCUAUAAUCCCAGCGACUCGGGAGGCUGAGGCAGGAGGAUUAAGAAUUCAAAGCCAGCCUCAGCAACAGCAAGGUGCUAAGCAAUUCAUGGAGACCCUGUCUCUG
rnacentral:sRNA from 1 species